rnacentral:rRNA from 1 species
UGAGGAAUAUUGCGCAAUGGACGAAAGUCUGACGCAGCCAUGCCGCGUGCAGGAUGACGGCCCUAUGGGUUGUAAACUGCUUUUGUAUGGGAAUAAAGCCUUCUACGUGUAGAAGGCUGAAGGUACCAUAAGAAUAAGCACCGGCUAACUCCGUGACAGAAGACGAGGUACUACGUAGGCGGCCAGCGUUGCCCGGAAUUAUUGGGAGUAACGCGUCCGCGGGCGGGUGAUCCGGUCUGCUGUUAAAGC